GACGAACGCUGGCGGCGUGCUUAACACAUGCAAGUCGAACGGGCCCGCCCCUGUUUUUGGGGGUGGGUUGAGUGGCGAACGGGUGAGUAUCACGUGAGUAACCUGCCCCCUGCUCCUGGAUAACUGCUUGAAAGGGCGGCUAAUACGGGGUGUGCCGGCUGGUCCGCAUGGGCCUGGUCGGGAUAGUUUCAUCUUCGGGUGUUUCGGUGGGGGAUGGGCUCGCGGCCUAUCAGCUUGUUGGUGGGGUGAUGGCCCACCAAGGCGGUGACGGGUAGCCGGCCUGAGAGGGUGGGCGGCCACACGGGGACUGAGACACGGCCCAGACUCCGGCGGGAGGCAGCAGUGGGGGGUAUGGCACAAUGGGCGGAAGCCUGAUGCAGCGACGUCGCGUGAGGGAUGGAGGCCUUCGGGUGGUGAACCUCUUUCUCCGGUGGUGAAGGCCCUGUCCGUUGCGGCGGGGUUGACGGUAGCCGGGUAUGAAGCGCCGGCUAACUACGUG
rnacentral:rRNA from 1 species